rnacentral:rRNA from 1 species
UGAGGAAUAUUGGGCAAUGGGGGGAACCCUGACCCAGCUAUGCCGCGUGAGUGAAGAAGGUUUUCGAAUUGUAAGGCUCUUUCGGGUGUGACGAUGAUGACGGUAGCACCUAAAGAAGCCCCGGCAAACUUCGUGCCAGCAGCCGCGGUAAUACGAAGGGGGCAAGCGUUGUUCGGAAUUACUGGGCGUAAAGGGUGUGUAGGUUGACGUGUAAGAUAGCGGUGAAAUGCCGGGGCUCAACCUCGGAAUUGCCAUUAUAACUAUGCGUCUAGAAUUAUAGAGAGGAUAGCGGAAUACCCAGUGUAGAGGUGAAAUUCGUAGAUAUUGGGUAGAACACCAGUGGCGAAGGCGGCUAUCUGGCUAUAUAUUGACCUGAGCACGAAAGCAUGGGGAUCAAACAGGAUUAGAUACCC